ACUCUAGCUGUUCUUAACUCUCCAGUGAGAGAGUGCCUCUCAAGUCAUGCCAGCAAAAACAAUAUUAAUGGUGCCAGCAGGUCCCAGAGAGGAUACUCAUUAACUGACCCUGCCUGGUUAUGUGUUCAGUCAUUAACCAAAAACUGUAGAAAUGAGGUUGCUCUGCUAUGCAUGGUCAGCCUGAGGAAUGAGGAACUGUGGUCAUCAUCGCUCAGACAUGGACUGAGAACAGGCAAGAGGCAUUCUGGAGCUGCAAGAGCAGGUGUUUACAACCUCACCAAAUCUUUAGCUUUGGAAUGGGCCUGCAGUGGAAUACGGAUCAAUUGUGUUGCCCCUGUAGGGAGUUAUUUAUUCCCAGACUGCUGUGGAGAACUAUGGUUCCUGGGGACAAAGCUUCUUUGAAGGGUCUUUUCAGAAAAUCCCCGCUAAACGAAUUGGUGUUCCUGAGGAGGUCUCCUCUGUGGUCUGCUUCCUACUGUCUCCUGCAGCUUCCUU
rnacentral:lncRNA from 10 species